rnacentral:rRNA from 1 species
CUAAUACCCGGAAUGGUCUUCAUUUCUGUUAGGGAGAUGGAGUAAAGGUGGCCUCUUCAUGAAAGCUACCGUGUAGGGAUGAGCCUGCGUACCAUUAGCUAGUAGGUGGGGUAAUGGCCCACCUAGGCUACGAUGGUUAGCGGGUCUGAGAGGAUGAUCCGCCACACUGGAACUGGGACACGGACCAG